rnacentral:rRNA from 1 species
AGAGUUUGAUCCUGGCUCAGGACGAACGCUGGCGGCGUGCUUAACACAUGCAAGUCGAACGAUGAUCCGGUGCUUGCACCGGGGAUUAGUGGCGAACGGGUGAGUAACACGUGAGUAACCUGCCCUGGACUCUGGGAUAACUUCGGGAAAUCGGAGCUAAUACCGGAUAGGACCUUUCCUCGCAUGAGGUUGGGUGGAAAGUUUUUUCGGUUUGGGAUGGACUCGCGGCCUAUCAGCUUGUUGGUGGGGUAGUGGCCUACCAAGGCGACGACGGGUAGCCGGCCUGAGAGGGUGACCGGCCACACUGGGACUGAGACACGGCCCAGACUCCUAUGGGAGGCAGCAGUGGGGAAUAUUGCGCAAUGGGCGAAAGCCUGACGCAGCGACGCCGCGUGGGGGAUGACGGCCUUCGGGUUGUAAACCUCUUUCAGCAGGGACGAAGCGAAAGUGACGGUACCUGCAGAAGAAGCGCCGGCUAACUACGUGCCAGCAGCCGCGGUAAU